CUAUGACGCCAGCAGGCGAGGCUCCUCCCCCUCCACUCUGGAACGGAGCUCCCGAAGGUCCACAAACAGACGGGUUGCCGGUGGUGAGAGUCUACGGCCGGCGCUGGUAGGAGGCUGAGCCCGACACGUCCAACGGGGAGCACAGCGCCGAGUUCAUUCAUUCAUCCAUCCAUCCCGCUGGUCCCGCACAGCCCCAGCCGGAGCGGCCGCUUCCUUCCCCAUCACUGUGUAAGGG